rnacentral:rRNA from 1 species
AACGAACGCUGGCGGCAGGCCUAACACAUGCAAGUCGAGCGCCCCGCAAGGGGAGCGGCGGACGGGUGAGUAACGCGUGGGAACGUACCCUUUGCUACGGAAUAGCCUCGGGAAACUGGGAGUAACACCGUAUGUGCCCUUCGGGGGAAAGAUUUAUCGGCAAAGGAUCGGCCCGCGUUGGAUUAGGUAGUUGGUGGGGUAAUGGCCUACCAAGCCGACGAUCCAUAGCUGGUUUGAGAGGAUGAUCAGCCACACUGGGACUGAGACACGGCCCAGACUCCUACGGGAGGCAGCAGUGGGGAAUCUUAGACAAUGGGCGCAAGCCUGAUCUAGCCAUGCCGCGUGAGCGAUGAAGGCCUUAGGGUUGUAAAGCUCUUUCAGUGGGGAAGAUAAUGACUGUACCCACAGAAGAAGCCCCGGCUAACUCCGUG